rnacentral:rRNA from 1 species
UACGAAGGGGGCGAGCGUUGUUCGGAUUUACUGGGCGUAAAGGGCGCGUAGGCGGCGCAAGAAGUCAGGCGUGAAAGCCCCCGGGCUCAACCUGGGAAUUGCGCCUUGGGACUCUUGGGCUUUGAGUUCGGGAGAGGAGCGUGGAAUUCCCAGUGUAGAGGUGAAAUUCGUAGAUAUUGGGAAGAACACCGGUGGCGAAGGCGGCGCUCUGGACCGAGACUGACGCUGAGGCGCGAAAGCGUGGG